CCAUUGUCCUUGGAAUAUUCUUUAUAUAUGCUUGUGUUCCCCCAUGUACUUUUUGUAAUGAUUUCUUGUUUAUAAUAAUAAUAAUAAUAAUAUAAAAAUGUAAUAUAUAAAAAAUCUGAAAAAAUAUAUCGCUAAGGUUUGACUUUUUCAGACCGGCAUUUCUAUAGACAACCCUGUGUAUAUUCCGGGUCCUGAGUCAACGUGGGACAGUGCGUUUGUGUCAUGCCGAAUUUGUUGUGUUUGUGUUUUUAAUGUCAGUAGUUCUAUUUUGACAUAUUUUUUACAUUACUAGUUUGGGAUAUUGGACAGUAACUGUGACGACUUAUCAUGAUGCCGGGGGAGAAUCUUUCCAAAAUCGCUUCAGGAGCAACUACUGGAGCCUGUCAAAACUGCACUGUGCUUCACCAGGUGAGGAGAGAAAGGCUCUGGCUACUGGUCUAUACUUGCUUCAAACCUGGAGAAAAAGAUAGUUAGCUAAUAUUUCACCAAACUAUGCUGACGGACAAUCCAUCCUCUCUCUCAUUGUAGAACCUAAACGAAUAUGUGGCAGCUCUCCUGGUUUUGAAACAGAAAACUAUUGACUCCGAAGCGCUGAGAAGUUGUCCCAGCAGCUUUUUGAGGAAGUGGAGAGGCUGAAGGAGCAGAACAACAACACAGAGACUCAAAAGAAGAGACUUGAGGACCAGCUGAAGAUGGUAGCAGAGACAACAGAGAAGCAGUGUGUGGAUAAUGUCCAGCUGAGACAGGAGAAGACGGCACUGCAGAAAGACCUGCUGAAAACACAGGUGUCGUUGAAGACAUGUCAGAAGGUAGCAGAGGAAGUGCAGCAGUUGAAGGAGGACAACGCCAGGACAUCCGUUCUAAAAUACGACCUGGAAAAACAUCUUGUACUGUUUCAAGAUUCUCAACUCAAGCAAGAGCGUGACAUUACCAGGCUGAAAACAGAGAAGAUUGUACUGGAGAACGAGCUUCUACAUCUUCAGGAACGACUAGAGAAAACUGGAGACGGAGAAGAAUAAAGUAUUAAAGAGCACAUCAACUCAAGCAACGGCACCUGAAGAAACACAGGUGGAUAAAGUAUGUUUUUAUUACACUAUAACCCAAGUUGAUACCACCACUUACCGUGCCUUGCGAAAGUAUUCGGCCCCCUUGAACUUUGCAACCUUUUGCCACAUUUCAGGCUUCAAACAUAAAGAUAUAAAACUGUAUUUUUUUGUGAAGAAUCAACAACAAGUGGG
rnacentral:lncRNA from 1 species